GGAAGGUGUUUAGCUGUAGGUUUUCUUGGAGAAGCUUGCUGAGGCUGGUUUUCCUGAUGCAAAUUUGGCUUUGCUCGGCACUGAAGGAGCUCAGGUCCUCGCUAUCGCCAAGGACGGCUGCUGUUCUCCAGUGCAGGGAAGAACACAGACAGCGGGAAAGACACGGGGGACUUUCUACACCAUGACUCCGAAUGCAAAAAUGAGUUCAGUCCCGGAUGCCCAGGACGGCCCUCUUCCACCUCACAGGAAAUCACACAAAGGAUCCCAUGGCCAGGCUAUAAGCACUCCUUCUGCAGCGUCCGGACUAGGAGCUGCUGGUCCCCAGGUGCUGUCUGUUUGCAGUCUUAUCCGGAGGGAUGAAAAGCAACAGGGAGGACAGUUGUCAGCGGCCAAUUCCAGCCAGAGCUUCUCUCGGUGCCCACAGGGACAGGGAGGUGAAGUUGAACGACACCAGGGCUGGCAGGGCUCAUGGCUCAUGGGUGCGCUCUCAGGUCCUCCAGGUCUCGAGGCAGGUCUGAAGGCCAGUGCGUGAAAACGCUCCUCCACCUGCACUUGUCCUGACAUUUCACAGCCCGAAGGGUGAGCCCAAGAGAGAACUCCUGAGAGAUACAAAUGUGUCACACAGGCAUGGAGGAAGCCUCGGUGUAGGGGUUAUGGCGGAGAUGGAGGAAACUGGAGACAGUGUGCCCAUUUUGAUUAUAAAGAAAUAAUAAAUUAUGUCUUGGGCUUCUAUUUAAAAAUCCAGGGAUACUGGACAUAGUAAGUGGUUUGAUCAUAGUUUCUCACUCUUUAUUCUGCUGUUCUUGGUCAGUCCCAGUAGAAAGACGGAGAGAGGGUGAAGAAUAGGACAGGGAGGAGCCAAGCAUGAGACCAAGAAGAAUUAACUGGGUGAAGCCUUACAGUAAGAAGACUCCAUGUGCUCUGUGUCAUUGGACGACAGUUUGAAAAUUUGCCCAGUGUCUCAGUCACAUAUCCAGCUGCUUUUAAGAACCUCUUCAAUUUUAAUAAGUAAUCUGUUUAAAUCAAAGGAACAACUCAAAUUUGUCACACAUCCAAUCUCAAAUCUUUAAAAACUAAGUGUUCAACAGAUGUACAAUAGAGAGAGAGCUUCGAUGUGAUAGAAAUUGAAUGUCACACACAUAUUUUGCGCAUAUUUUUCUAUUUCAGAGUAGGCAGACUGGCAAGAGGCUGUUUUGGGUAACUGUAUUCUGCCCACCUAAAAAUCCCAUGCCGUCUUCACUGGGAACUGCAUCCUUUACUUUCUCUCUGGAACAAUUCACAAAAUGCCACAGGAGUAUUCUAGGAGAAGGGUGGUACAUGAGUGUUAGGCCAUAACCACCCAGAAGGACGUGAGAAUCAAACAAGAUGGCCCUGAA